UAGGGAAUCUUCGGCAAUGGACGAUAGUCUGACCGAGCAACGCCGCGUGAGUGAAGAAGGUUUUCGGAUCGUAAAACUCUGUUGUUAGAGAAGAACAAGGACGUUAGUAACUGAACGUCCCCUGACGGUAUCUAACCAGAAAGCCACGGCUAACUACGUGCCAGCAGCCGCGGUAAUACGUAGGUGGCAAGCGUUGUCCGGAUUUAUUGGGCGUAAAGCGAGCGCAGGCGGUUUCUUAAGUCUGAUGUGAAAGCCCCCGGCUCAACCGGGGAGGGUCAUUGGAAACUGGGAGACUUGAGUGCAGAAGAGGGGAGUGGAAUUCCAUGUGUAGCGGUGAAAUGCGUAGAUAUAUGGAGGAACACCAGUGGCGAAGGCGGCUCUCUGGUCUGUAACUGACGCUGAGGCUCGAAAGCGUGGGGAGCAAACAGG
rnacentral:rRNA from 1 species